AAGGAGCGGGCUGAGGCGCCUGCUCCUCUCUCGCCUGCUCGAGCGAUUCUUUCAGCCCGUUUUGUCAGCUGCAGGUGGACAGGCAGAAAUGCAAGAGGUGUAGCAAUGGGCAGAGCUACUAUGCCUAUUUCUGUCCGCUGUGCAGCUGCUGCAAGGAAACUGGCCAGGAGACGGAGGGGUUGAAAACGGACUCUUUCUCUGUUCAUACAGUGAUCACCACCAACCAGGCGCCUUGGCACCCGCAAAGGCUUUCGCGGAUGCCUCAGGUGCCCUAAACUGACCCUGAGCUUUCUUUAAAAAGAAAAAGACCUGGUAACUGUGUUACCAUAUGGAGACUUUUUCACAGGAUCCUUUUUGCCAUGUUAUAUAUUGAGGUGCAGAUCAUUUGAAAAUGCUUGUAAGAACCAUCUUGGCCGACCUCGUUCAAAUAAAUGAAAGUUACUUGUGGUUUUAACAAUAAUUAUGGAUUCUCAAAAGUGUAUCCACAUUCCGUGAGGCUAAUUCCUGUCACCCUCAUUCCUCAACUUAACUUUUGACCACUCUAGUAUGCUGGUUCAAUGUUUCAAGAGUUUGAGAAGGGAGGGAUUCCUGUUCUGUCUAUAGAUGGGGCACAUCCUCAACAGGAGCCCACAAACAGCUGUCCAGAAGUUUUAGCUAACAUUGCUAAGGAAGUUCUGCCCAAAUGGUGCUCACAUAUGGACCUCACCCUGGAUGAGAGGAGAAAUGCUGAAGUAUGGUAGUAAAUCGGUGACAGCCUAUAUAUACCAAGCUUGCAAUCUUAACAAAUAAAAUUCAUUCGGUUCUUACAAUUGUUUGGGAGGAGCAGGCUCCAUUUGGGUAACAUCUAAUUUUGUGCUUGUGCUAAAGUAGCAGCUUUUUUUCUUUCGUUUGCUGCUAGAAGGCUCCAUUUUAGAAGUUGUUGCUGGUCUUAAUUUCAUUUCAGAAAAACACCUUAGAACACUUCAAUGCUUUCAUCAAGUUCCACUGAGCUUAUCCUGCUUGUGACAUCAUACACGGCCUCAGAAUUCCAUGUUUGCUUUUAACCUAAGUUAUCUCCAUGCCAACAGCAGUGACCAGUAAACUUCUGAAACAUAACCAUCAGCCUGCCUUUCCAGCAACUGGGACAUUUCCUUUUGCUUUUUUAUAUUAAAGCGUGAUGGAAGAGUUCCUGUGUUAGCUGGAAGCAUUUUAUGGACAUUUUCUCAACCCAACUCCAGUUGCUGUUGCUGCUGCUUUCUGUUUGGUAUAAAUAACAGUCUCUAAGAGGAAGAUUAUGAGAAUCUAUGAAAUUGAUCAGAGAGUGUGUCUGGAUCAACCAUGGUGAGGUUAUGUGUUUAAUAAGUGAGGUAGUUAAAAAGAUAGGCUUCUGCACUUGCUAAGGAACAAUGGAUGCUUCUUAAAGGACUGAAUUCCUGCUCCUUAAGGAUGGAGGCCAUUUUUUUUGUAUUUUGUUUCUUUCUGAUAACGAGGAUACAGCCAGCAAGAUUGGGGCACAAGCAUAUGUAUGUGUGUGUGUAAAUCUUGCUGGCUGUAUUUUCUUUUUGUUUGUGUGUGUGUGCACGCGCGUUAUCUCCCCACCCUUUGCAUUCCACUUUCCCUCUCCAUUUCCCUCUCACCUUUCUCCUCCUUCUCCAUUCUUCUUUCUGUCAGACUCAUCUAGGGACAAAUGUCUAUUAAGACCAGGCUGGGAAGAGACUAUACCUAUAAAGAUGUGGCCUUCAUUCUUUUGGAUAAAAGUUGGUAGAUCCACUGCUGGAUUAAACUCCCUUCCUAUUAAUCAUGGAUAAUGAGACCUUUCAAGUAGAGCUAUAUUUUUCUUCAUCUCUUACAAAAUUCCAGCCCCAAUAUUGGAAGCUGUUUUGGAUUCCAGAGCAUUUUCUUUUUAUGGAAAUUACCCUUUCAGUUAUUAUCUUUUUUUUUCACCUUUUGAUUUGACUGCAUGCCAUGAGCCAAAGGAAGCCAAUGCUUGCCCUAAAGACCACUUCUUCACAACUUCCAUGAGAUAGAACUGUUUUUGUAAUUUUGACUGCAUGUCAACAUUUAUUUUAUGUCCUGGACAACACUGAGGUUUUUUUGUUUUUUUUUAUGAAGGACAAAGCUGCAAUCAUCUGUGGAGCAAUUAUAAAUUGGCCUUUUUGUAGAUGAUGGAGAGAUGUAACGUCUUGGAUGGCAAAAGACAAACAGCCACACCAGCAGAAAAAUUGAUAUAGUUGUUAGAGACAUUGUUUCAUUCCCCCCCCCCCAGCACACUUUCAUUUAGGCAUGCACCUCUUAAUUCCAUGGUACAAAUUAUCCUGGGUUCACUUCCUUUUUCAUGGU